UUUAAAGUGGCAGAGCCCAGCAAUUGCGUAAAACUUACACCUCUAUAACUAGAGGUUCAAAUCCUCUCCCUAACA
rnacentral:tRNA from 1 species